rnacentral:rRNA from 1 species
CAGCAGCCGCGGGAAUACGGAGGGUGCAAGCGUUAAUCGGAAUUACUGGGCGUAAAGAGUGCGUAGGUGGUUAGAUAAGUUAUGUGUGAAAUCCCUGGGCUUAACCUGGGCAGGUCAUAUAAUACUGUUUGACUCGAGUAUGGGAGAGGGUAGUGGAAUUUCCGGUGUAGCGGUGAGAUGCGUAGAGAUCGGAAGGAACACCAGUGGCGAAGGCGGCUACCUGGCCUAAUACUGACACUGAGGCACGGAAGCGUGGGGAGCAAACAGGAUUAGAUACCCGCGUAGUCCCUGUCUCUUAUAC